AUUGAACGCUGGCGGCAGGCCUAACACAUGCAAGUAGAGCGGAGCGGCGGACGGGUGAGUAAUGCCUAGGAAUCUGCCUGGGAGUGGGGGCUAACGUCCGGAAACGGGCGCUAAUACCGCAUACUAUCAGAUGAGCCUCGGUCGGAUUAGCUAGUAGGUGGGGUAACGGCUCACCUAGGCGACGAUCCCUAGCUGGUCUGAGAGGAUGACCAGCCACACUGGAACGUAGACACGGUCCAGACUCCUACGGGAGGCAGCAGUGGGGAAUAUUGCACAAUGGGCGCAAGCCUGAUGCAGCCAUGCCGCUUGUGUGAAGAAGGCUUUCGGGUUGUAAAGCACUUUCAGCGGGGAGGCGUUACCCGCAGAAGAAGCACCGGCUAACUCCGUGCCAGCAGCCGCGGUAAUUC
rnacentral:rRNA from 1 species